CCCUCGGGAAACUGAGGUUAAUAUCUGAUAGGAGAUUUAUACUGGAAAGAUUAAUCUUUAAAAUUCGAGCCUAAGGAUGGGGCUGCGGUGGAUUAGGUUGUUGGCGGGGUAAUAGCCCACCAAGCCUUUGAUCCAUAGGGGCUCUUAGCGGAGAAGCCCCGAGAGGGAAUCUGAGACACUAUUCCCAGCCCUACGGGGUGCAGCAGUUAGGAAUAUUCUGCAAUGCGCGUAAGCGUGACAGAUUGAGUCAGAGUGCGCUUCAAUUUGGAGUGCUUUUGCUAAAUGUAAAAAGUUUGGCGAAUAAGGACUGGGUAAGACGAGUGCCAGCCGCCGCGGUAAUACUCGCGGUCCAAGUCGCAGCCAUUUUUAUUGGGUCUAAAACAUCCGUAGCUUGCUUGGUGAGUUCCUUGUGAAAUUCUAUAUCUCAAAUAUGGAGCGUGCAGGGAGUACUGCCAAGCUAGAGACUGGAAGACGUAACGAGUACGUUUGGAGUAGCGGUAAAAUGUGUUAAUCCCGGACGGACUAACAAUAGCGAAGGCACGUUACGAGGACAGUUCUGACAGUAAGGGAUGAAGGCUAGGGGCGCAAAACGGAUUAGAUACCCGUGUAGUCCUAGCAGUAAACACUGCACACUAAACAUUAGUACCUCCUCGAGAGGUAUUGGUGCUGAAGGGAAGCCGAAGAGUGUGCUACCUGGGAAGUAUAGUCGCAAGGCCGAAACUUAAAGGAAU
rnacentral:rRNA from 1 species